rnacentral:lncRNA from 1 species
AUCAUGCAGGGCUCAGACUAUCUCUGAGAAGGUGCUCAUUUCCACUGCCACACAACACUGGUUUGUACAGGAAAUUACCUGCCAUGUAUAAACCCCUAUUUUUCUGCAUUCUCCUCCAGUCACAAGGGCUAGAAACCUGCAAACUACAUUUCUCAGACUUCUCUGCUAGAGGGUUUCAGUUUAGAUUAUGCCUACGGCAUGAGAGCAGGAGGCAGGUAGAGGGACUCUCAUUCUGGCUGCAGCUCAGGGGCAAGUGACUUCACACAGGGAUCAAACAGAAAGCCGGACCGCCAGAUGGAAAAUGCUGAGCACGGUCACAUAGACCUCAGGAGAUGGACCUAAACAGCUCUGAGCAGCCAACGGAGGGAAGAAGAGAUUCCUAGAAGGCAAGAAACAAAAUGGCCAGCUCCACCUGGAGGCCAGUGGCUUCAGUUUGUCACAAAGACAAAUUUAUUACAGCAAAAAAGUGCCCCCUACUCAAGAGCUGUUCAACUCCAGAAGACUCCAAAUGAAGAGAAGGGAUCCUGAAUUCUGCUUCUUGGGCAACACAACUUGACCACUGUGGACUGAGAGAGAAGAGUGGUCAUCAAGGUGAUUGGCUGAGUAGAACAGAAAGGAGGAAUGGAGUUGUUUAGAAACCAAGCCACUGGAUUGGCCAUCAUUCCAAUGGAAAGUUUUGCACCACAGGUUUGCAGCUAUUGAAAGACCAUUCUGAUUAUUGCAAAAUGAUUAGCACAUAGGCUUUUGAAUCAAAUUGAACUGGGCUCUGCCCUUUAUUAUAUGUCCUUGGGCAAGUUACUUAACCUUGCUAAGUCUCCAUUUUCUUACGUGUUAAAAAGGAGGAUAAUAUUAGUAAUUACCUCAUAAAACAAUUGUGAAGAUUAAAUGCAAUAGCUUGUAUGAAGUGAUCCUUGUUUAGCAUCCUGGUUCAUAAUAAGUACUCCAGAAAUGUUAGCUGCCAUCAAUAGCGCAUAAUUUUAAAGAAAUGGGCAUUUUUUUAUUACUGGAAUUGCUGCAAAGAUGACAAAUAGACAUCCUUCCUUAAUAAAGGGAUGUGAUUCGUUUACAAAUAGCAGCACACAUUUGCAUGUAGACAAUAGUGUGAUAAUAUUCUUAAAUACAGUUUGUUCAGUUUGUUCUUCUAAGAAAAUAAAAACACACUGCUUCCCGUUGAUCCUGAACAUUUCUCCCCCUCUUACUUGUUUACAUUGUUAAAUUGCUUAGCAACCUCUUUUUUAGGCUUGACUAGAGACAUACAAUUUCAAUCAAGAGCAGGACAAAAUACCACAAAACUUAAAUAAAUAUACUACUGCCACAUUAAAGAUAAAACAUAAAAAUCACAUUUAUUUUUAAUCACAUUUCUUUUAUCUUCUCAUGACUUUGACUUUCUGCAAAUUCAAAUGUUUUUCCUUCCCCAUAUAAGAGGUGAAGUUUGGCUUCAGUAGCUCAGCGUGUGAGUGGAAGGGUGAGGAGCAUCUCGGGAAGGGAUGGGUCUCUCUGCUCUCAGUUCCAGAAUCCCAUCUCGUCAUUAAUCUUGUACUUUUUCUUCCCUUACUUUGGCACUCUGGACUAGCUCAACAAUCAUAGAGGGGGGAAAAGUGACAGUGAUCAACUUUCCCUGUAGAAAAGGAUCGAAACAUUUCCUUUUUAUGUUUUCAAAGGACAGGAACCCAGUCUUGUCUCAUUUGCUCUGUUGAGUGGAGUAAUUCAUGAGCCCACAUCACCUAGUCCUGAAAUUCCUUCAACUACCAAUGUACCCCUGCCAAAAGUAAUAUUCUCAGCUUUCUAAUAACAGCCUUUCUUACCCUCUAUAUUAUCAUCCUAUUUGCCUCAUCUGUAACCUUCCCCAGAGGAGCUCUCAUCAUUGGCAAAUUAUUUUAAAUCCUGUUUUCAAACCAGGUAGAACAACAACAACAAUAAUAAUAGGCAAAUGUUAGAUGUAAUAAUUGGCUCAAAAGACCUAAGUGUGUUUUCCAGUGUUUCUGAGGGUAGGUCACUUCUGAAUUCCAGAAUUGGAGCAAAAACUUCAGAAUUGCUCUCUGUUUCAGGUAGAGCCUUCCACAAUAUCUUCUCUCUUCCUCUCUUUCUCUGCUCCCUGUCCUCUUGAAUAAUAGAUGGGAUCAGAAGACCUCCCUCAAGUUUACCUCAGGUCCAAUUUCUAGCUUUAUCGUUUUUUUGGAUUUGUUUGUUUGUUUUUUGUCUUGAAUACAUCACUUUACAAUUCUGAGCACAUGCCAAAGUCCGUUCAAGCUCCAAAAUUUCUGCCCCCUUAUACAUCUGAGAGGGACUUUCAUUUCUAGAUAAGAAGUAGAUGGGCUGGGCCCGGUGGCUGAAGCCUAUAAUCCCAGCACUUUGGGAGGCUGAGGCGGGCAGAUCACGAGGUCAGGAGAUGGAGACCAUCCUGGCUAACAUGGUGAAACCCCAUCUCUACUAAAAAUACAAAAAAAAAUUUUUUUAAUUUAAAAAAAAAGAAGUAGAUGGUCACAGCAGGCUAACACACACACUGUUGCAAUAAGAAAAAAAAAACAGGUAAACUGAAAGCGUCAUUAAAGACACUAUCUUGUUGGAAGCAACAGGAACUAGAUAAACUCAAGUUCCUACAUGAGCUUAUAAUCACCAGCUGUUUGCUUCCCAAGGAGCAUUUGUUCAUUGCAGGUAAAGGCUGAAGAUGAGAUUUCGGCCAAAGAGAAGGACUUUACUGGGUAAAAGAAAAAUCAGCAGAAGUUUUGGUGAAUGAAUGGGAUUGGCAUAAUAGAUGGGAAAAUAGAAGAGUGCAAAAUGCAAGGCUCAUUUCCAUAUGUUUUGGAAUGGUGGGGAAGUCUUAAAGGGGCAGAACCAGAAAGAGAAAAUAAAAUCUGCUGUAGUCUGCAGUGCUUGAGAAACAACAUCUUGUUAGAAAUACGGGUUUACAAUAAAUGUCCAACAAUUUUUCCUCAUAAACCAUUUGCCAGAUUUGAACCUUUGUGGCAUGGAUAUCUAAGAUACAGCCUCUAAACCUCUGAAGAGCAAACUAUUUAGAACUGUGGAGACAGGUAGCUGCUAGGCUUCUCAUCAAAAGCCCAAAAUUGACCUCUGCAAAAAUCAGGGACAAAUAAAAGGUGAGCUGGGAUUUGCUAAAAAUUGCAACUCAACCUCCUAUCCAGCACAAUCUCUGCCUGUCUGCCCAUCAGAGGAUAGGAGGAACCCUUGCUGGUAGACAUUUCAUCUGAACAUUUUGUUUUGUUGUUGUCAUUAUUUUGUU